GAUGAACGCUGCGGCGUGCCUAAUACAUGCAAGUCGCGCGAACAGACGAGGAGCUUGCUCCUCUGACGUUAGCGGCGGACGGGUGAGUAACACGUGGAUAACCUACCUAUAAGACUGGGAUAACUUCGGGAAACCGGAGCUAAUACCGGAUAAUAUAUUGAACCGCAUGGUUCAAUAGUGAAAGACGGUUUUGCUGUCACUUAUAGAUGGAUCCGCGCCGCAUUAGCUAGUUGGUAAGGUAACGGCUUACCAAGGCGACGAUGCGUAGCCGACCUGAGAGGGUGAUCGGCCACACUGGAACUGAGACACGGUCCAGACUCCUACGGGAGGCAGCAGUAGGGAAUCUUCCGCAAUGGGCGAAAGCCUGACGGAGCAACGCCGCGUGAGUGAUGAAGGUCUUCGGAUCGUAAAACUCUGUUAUUAGGGAAGAACAAAUGUGUAAGUAACUAUGCACGUCUUGACGGUACCUAAUCAGAAAGCCACGGCUAACUACGUG
rnacentral:rRNA from 1 species